rnacentral:rRNA from 1 species
CUCUUCUUGUUUAAUAUAUUUGAAGUAUAACCUGCCCACUGAUUUGGUUUUGAAGGGCCGCGGUAUUUUGACCGUGCAAAGGUAGCAUAAUAAUUAGUCUUUUAAUUAGGGACUGGAAUGAAUGGUUGGACGAGGAAUAUACUGUUUCUUAAUAAUUGUUUUGAAAUUAAAGUUUAAGUUAAAAUGCUUAAAUUUCUUUAUGGGACGAGAAGACCCUAUAGAGUUUAAUAUAUUUUAUUAUAAUCUAGUUUGUUAUAAAUUUAUUUAUUGUAAAGUUUAUUUUGUUGGGGUGAUGAAAAUGAAUUAAUAAACUCUUUUUUUUAUUUAUAUAUUUAUUUAUAAUUUUAUGAUCCAUUUUUAUUGAUUAUAAGACUAAAUUACCUUAGGGAUAACAGCGUAA